rnacentral:lncRNA from 1 species
UGAAAAAAAAGACAUGAAGAAGGUAGUUAGAAGCUGAAACAAUGCAAAGCAAUUUAAGGCACAGGUUCUACCUGUGGAACUGGGAAUGACACUUACUGGAAAAUAUUGACAGGAAGAACCGAGAAAGGAGGAAAUUACACAAAUAACAGAGAUUAACGAACAAUUACGGAAGCCUGUAGAAAGACAGCUAAGGAGGUACAAGAGAAGACUGUUGAAAACCAAAGACAUAAUAACAAAACCACCACAACAAUAACAACAACAAACAAAACAAAAACGAAAACAAAAUCCAAAACCCUUCCUGUGUUUCAGAGGAUGAGCAAUGUGCCCUCUCAAUCUUUAUAAUGAAUUCCUUAAGGAAGUUGGAGAUUUCUGACAGCAAUUUUUGAAUAAAGACCCACAGAUUUCCUUUCUCCA